GACAGAGGUGCCGAGCGUUAGGCGGAAUCACUGGGCUUAAAGCGCGUGUAGGUGGCGGCCUAAGUACCUUGUGAAAUCCUGCGGCUCAACCACAGAACUGCUUGGUAUACUGGGUCGCUUGAGCCAUCCAGGGGCAACUGGAACAAGCGGUGGAGCGGUGAAAUGCGUAGAUAUCGCUUGGAACGCCAAAGGUGAAAACAGGUUGCUGGGGGAUGCGCUGACACUGAGACGCGAAAGCCAGGGGAGCGAACGGG
rnacentral:rRNA from 1 species